GACGAACGCUGGCGGCGUGCUUAACACAUGCAAGUCGAGCGGUAAGGCCCUUUCGGGGGUACACGAGCGGCGAACGGGUGAGUAACACGUGGGUGACCUGCCCUCAGCUCUGGGAUAAGCCUGGGAAACCGGGUCUAAUACUGGAUAUGACUCCAUGACGCAUGUUGUGGGGUGGAAAGCCUUGUGCGGCUGAGGAUGGGCCCGCGGCCUAUCAGCUCGUUGGUGGGGUGANGGCCUACCAAGGCGACGACGGGUAGCCGGCCUGAGAGGGCGACCGGCCACACUGGGACUGAGACACGGCCCAGACUCCUACGGGAGGCAGCAGUGGGGAAUCUUGCGCAAUGGGCGAAAGCCUGACGCAGCGACGCCGCGUGAGGGAUGACGGCCUC
rnacentral:rRNA from 1 species